AAAAAGGUGGCACGCUCAUUCCAAAAUGGAGGGAUCACGUGUGUUGUGACUGCAUUUUCUAGUGAUUGAACUAUGAUUAAAGGGUUCGAUUUUAGCUACAGACCACAGUGCUGUAUCUAUUCGCCUACAUCAGGACCCACGGCCAUGCCAUCUCCUCUCUCUCUCUCUCACUCACUCCUUAGCAGCAGUGCUAUUCUCCAACUUUUGUAGGAGACUAGGAGGAGCAGACACACACCUUUGCAAAUGCAAUCAAUGGCGCUGGUGGUGGCCUACUGAGAGGAUUGAAUAUGUCGGAGGGGCAGAGCAGAUGGUUAAAACAAAUAGAUGGGACGAAAAUUUGAAAGGUAUUUUCAUUAAUAAGAGAUAUGAAUACACCGGAGCACGCGUGUAGGCUGAACCACACUAAUAAGAAAUUAAGAAUCAUUAAACCACCCUCUAAACUUGGAAGAAAAGAGGUGAUGCUAUCCUGUCGAACUCCUUCCAACAACUUUAGGCCCAUCAUCACCAAAUGCCAAAAGUUACGAUCUGGUUGGUGAGCUCGGAUCCUCUCAAGGGAGGCAGGCUAGUGCUUCUCUCUCACAUAUGAUAGUCU